rnacentral:rRNA from 1 species
UACGUAGGGACCAAGCGUUGUUCGGAUUUACUGGGCGUAAAGGGCGCGUAGGCGGCAAUUCAAGUCAGUUGUGAAAUCUCCGAGCUUAACUCGGAACGGUCAACUGAUACUGUUUUGCUAGAGUGCAGAAAGGGCAACCGGAAUUCUUGGUGUAGCGGUGAAAUGCGUAGAUAUCAAGAGGAACACCUGAGGCGAAGGCGGGUUGCUGGGCUGACACUGACGCUGAGGCGCGAAAGCUAGGGGAGCGAACGGG